rnacentral:rRNA from 1 species
UGGGGAAUAUUGGACAAUGGACCAAGAGUCUGAUCCAGCAAUUCUGUGUGCACGAUGAAGUUUUUCGGAAUGUAAAGUGCUUUCAGUUGGGAAGAAAAAAAUGACGGUACCAACAGAAGAAGUGACGGCUAAAUACGUGCCAGCAGCCGCGGUAAUACGUAUGUCACGAGCGUUAUCCGGAUUUAUUGGGCGUAAAGCGCGUCUAGGUGGUUAUGUAAGUCUGAUGUGAAAAUGCAGGGCUCAACUCUGGAUUGCGUUGGAAACUGUAUAACUAGAGUACUGGAGAGGUAAGCGGAACUACAAGUGUAGAGGUGAAAUUCGUAGAUAUUUGUAGGAAUGCCGAUGGGGAAGCCAGCUUACUGGACAGAUACUGACGCUGAAGCGCGAAAGCGUGGGUAGCAAACAGGAUUAGAUACCCUGGUAGUCCACGCCGUAAACGAUGAUUACUAGGUGUUGGGGGUCGAACCUCAGCGCCCAAGCAAACGCGAUAAGUAAUCCGCCUGGGGAGUACGUACGCAAGUAUG